AUAAAUAAAUAAAUGUUUAUAGUUUAAAUAAUUUAUUUAUAAAUUUAUUUUACAUAUAAAUUCUAGUAUUAAUUAAAAUUUAUUUUAAUAAUAAAUUAUUUAAUUAUAUAGUAAUUAAUAUUAAAUUAUUUAAGAAAUUAAGAUUUAGUAAUAUUGAAAUUAAUAACAAAUUUUGUGCCAGCAGUUGCGGUUAAACAAAAAUUGAGUUAAAUUAUAUUGGUAAUUAAUUAAUAAAUUAAGUUAUAAUUAAAAAUUUAAAUUAUUAGGUGAAAUUUUAAUUUAAUAAAAUAUUAUUUUAAUUUUAUGAAUUAAUAAAAUUUAUUAAAAACUAGGAUUAGAUACCCUAUUAUUAAAAUUUUAAAAUUUUAAUACUAAAAUAGUAGAUGAUUAUUCAUUGAAAUUUAAAUAAUUUGGCGGUAUUUUAGUUCAUUUAGAGGAAUCUGUUUAAUAAUUGAUAAUCCACGAAUAAAUUUACUUAAUUUUUAAUUUUGUAUAUCGUUGUUAAAAAAAUAUUUUUUAAUAAAAAUAAUAUUUAAAAAUUUAUAUAAAAAAUUAAAUCAGAUCAAGAUGCAGAUUAUAAUUAAGAAUAUAAUGGAUUACAAUAAAUUUAUUUAAAUGAAUAUUAAUUUGAAAAAAUUAAAUUGAAAGUGGAUUUAAAUGUAAUUUUAUUUAAUUUAUUAAAGUGAUUUUAAAUUAAAAUAUGUACAUAUUGCCCGUCGCUUUCAUAUAUAUAUAUAUAUAUAUAUUAAAUUGAAAUAAGUCGUAACAAAGUAGAGGUACUGGAAAGUGUUUCUAGAAAGA
rnacentral:ncRNA from 1 species